CUUGCUGAUACACCCAAAGUGGUGUCGGGUGCGUGCGACGAUUUCGCCGCCCAGGGGCUAGAAAAUCAUUGUCGUGGCUUGUGUGCGACGAUUUUGCCGCCGGAUGGUUAGCCAGUUUGUGGAUCCUACCGCCUGUUGACUGAACCACUGUCGUGGCGUGUGUGCGACGAUUUCGCCGCCGGGUGACUAAGUCAUUAAACCUAGGCCGUUGUUGGGUGAGGGGCGAUUCUUUCGCCGCCAGACGGCUAGGACAGGAGUACGGUGAGCUGUUGCCAGCUGAGGUGCUUGUGAGAGUUCCUUCACCUCGAGCUAGACAGUGCGCGGACCAUCCGCGAUUGAUCGACUCAAGACCGAGUCGGGUGGCUUUGUUGACUAAGGUAAAGUGACCUUAGAGUAGAAUGCCAAAGGCUAAGAGAUAGUAUGGUUCAAGAAUGUUAAAAGUAAAGAACAGCUAAACGAUAAUGAAUAGCUAAAGAGUAAAGAAUGACUAAAGAACAAUGAAUAGCUAAAGAAAAGAAUAGCUAAGAGCUAAAAGUAAGCAUUAAAUAGCAAAGAGUAAAGAAUGAUCAAGAACAUAAGUAGUGUUAAAGUAACCUACUUGCAUGAUUACAGGUAUUGCAUAUUGCAUUUUGUGAGGCA
rnacentral:lncRNA from 1 species